rnacentral:tRNA from 3 species
GGCCCUGUAGUUCAAUGGAUAGAACGGAAGUUUCCUAAACUUUAAAUAUAGGUUCGAUUCCUAUCGGGGCUA